UUAAGGGCGCACGGUGGAUGCCUUGGCACCAGGAGCCGAUGAAGGACGUAGGAGGCUGCGAUAAGCCUCGGGGAGCUGUCAACCGAGCGUUGAUCCGAGGAUUUCCGAAUGGGGGAACCCCGCACCAGUCAUGUGGUGUGACCCGCGCCUGAAUAUAUAGGGCGUGUGGAGGGAACGUGGGGAAGUGAAACAUCUCAGUACCCACAGGAAGAGAAAACAACAGUGAUUCCGUGAGUAGUGGCGAGCGAAAGCGGAUGAGGCCAAACCAUGUGCAUGUGAUAGCCGGCAGGUGUUGUGCAUGUGGGGUUGUGGGACGUUGCGUACUCCACUGCCGUGGGGUGAGGCAGUCAUAAAGGUGUGGUGUUAGUGGAAGGCCUCUGGAAGGGGUCGCCGUAGAGGGUGAGAGCCCCGUACACGAAAACUCAUGCCCUGUCUUGGAGCGUAUCCCAAGUAGCACCGAGCUCGUGGAAUUCGGUGUGAAUCUGGCGGGACCACCCGCUAAGCCUGAAUACUCCCUGGUGACCGAUAGCGGACAAGUACCGUGAGGGAAAGGUGAAAAGUACCCCGGGAGGGGAGUGAAAUAGUACCUGAAACCGUGUGCCUACAAGCCGUGAGAGCCUUACGCAUCCUUGUGGUGUGGGGGUGAUUGCGUGCCUUUUGAAGAAUGAGCCUGCGAGUUAGCGGUACGUGGCGAGGUUAACCCGUGUGGGGUAGCCGUAGCGAAAGCGAGUCCGAAUAGGGCGUUUCUAGUCGCGUGCUCUAGACCCGAAGCCGAGUGAUCUACCCAUGGCCAGGUUGAAGCGCGGGUAAGACCGCGUGGAGGACCGAACCCACUUCGGUUGAAAACGGAGGGGAUGAGCUGUGGGUAGGGGUGAAAGGCCAAUCAAACUCGGUGAUAGCUGGUUCUCCCCGAAAUGCAUUUAGGUGCAGCGUCGCGUGUUUCUUGCCGGAGGUAGAGCACUGGAUGGUCUAGGGGCCCCACAAGGUUACUGAAAUCAACCAAACUCCGAAUGCCGGUAAGUGAGAGCGCGGCAGUGAGACUGCGGGCGAUAAGGUUCGUAGUCGAGAGGGAAACAGCCCAGAUCAUCAGCUAAGGCCCCUAAGCGUGUGCUAAGUGGAAAAGGAUGUGGAGUCGCAGUGACAACCAGGAGGUUGGCUUAGAAGCAGCCACCCUUGAAAGAGUGCGUAAUAGCUCACUGGUCAAGUGAUUCCGCGCCGACAAUGUAGCGGGGCUCAAGCACACCGCCGAAGCUAUGGCACUCCCAUGUAGCCCGCCGUCAGUCUCAUGAUUGUCGGCCAGGUGUGGGGGUGGGUAGGGGAGCGUCGUGUGGGGGUUGAAGCGGCGGAGUGAUCCAGCCGUGGACGCCACACGAGUGAGAAUGCAGGCAUGAGUAGCGAAAGGGGAGUGAGAAACUCCCCCGCCGGAUGACCAAGGGUUCCUGGGCCAGGCUAAUCCGCCCAGGGUGAGUCGGGACCUAAGGCGAGGCCGACAGGCGUAGUCGAUGGACAACGGGUUGAUAUUCCCGUACCCGCGAAAGAGCGCCCAUGCUGAACCUAGCGAUGCUAACCAUCUGAAGCCCCGUGACUUCAGGCCUUCGGGUCUGUGGCGUGUGGGUGGAACGUGGGACCCGGACUGGUAGUAGGCAAGCGAUGGGGUGACGCAGGAAGGUAGUCCUACCGGUGAGUGGUAGUACCGGUGCAAGGGUGUGGCCCGUCCGAUAGGUAAAUCCGUCGGACAUGUGGGUGAGGCCUGAUGCAUAGCCGAAUGAGGUGAAUGGGAUGAUCCUAUGCUGCCGAGAAAAGCCUCUAGCGAGCUCUGAGCGGCCCGUACCCCAAACCAACUCAGGUGGUCAGGUAGAGAAUACCGAGGCGAUCGAGCGAACUGUGGUUAAGGAACUCGGCAAAAUGCCCCCGUAACUUCGGGAGAAGGGGGGCCACCGACCGUCAACACCUUCACGGUGGGUAGCGGUGGGUGGCCGCAGAGACCAGUGAGAAGCGACUGUUUACUAAAAACACAGGUCCGUGCGAAGUCGAAAGACGAUGUAUACGGACUGACGCCUGCCCGGUGCUGGAACGUUAAGGGGACGGGUUAGCUGCUUCGGUGGCGAAGCUCAGAACUCAAGCGCCAGUAAACGGCGGUGGUAACUAUAACCAUCCUAAGGUAGCGAAAUUCCUUGUCGGGUAAGUUCCGACCUGCACGAAUGGCGUAACGACUUCUCAGCUGUCUCAACCACAGGCUCGGCGAAAUUGCACUACGAGUAAAGAUGCUCGUUACGCGCGGCAGGACGGAAAGACCCCGGGACCUUCACUAUAGCUUGAUAUUGGUGUUCGGUUCGGUUUGUGUAGGAUAGGUGGGAGACUGUGAAGCGGGCACGCCAGUGUUCGUGGAGUCGUCGUUGAAAUACCACUCUGGUCGAAUUGGAUGUCUAACCUCGGUCCGUGAUCCGGAUCAGGGACAGUGUCAGGUGGGUAGUUUAACUGGGGCGGUUGCCUCCCAAAAUGUAACGGAGGCGCCCAAAGGUUCCCUCAGCCUGGUUGGCAAUCAGGUGUCGAGUGCAAGUGCACAAGGGAGCUUGACUGUGAGACCGACGGGUCGAGCAGGAGCGAAAGCUGGGACUAGUGACCCGGCACCGGCAUGUGGAAGCGGUGUCGCUCAACGGAUAAAAGGUACCCCGGGGAUAACAGGCUGAUCUUCCCCAAGAGUCCAUAUCGACGGGAUGGUUUGGCACCUCGAUGUCGGCUCGUCGCAUCCUGGGGCUGGAGUAGGUCCCAAGGGUUGGGCUGUUCGCCCAUUAAAGCGGUACGCGAGCUGGGUUUAGAACGUCGUGAGACAGUUCGGUCCCUNNNNNNNNNNNUGGCACCUCGAUGUCGGCUCGUCGCAUCCUGGGGCUGGAGUAGGUCCCAAGGGUUGGGCUGUUCGCCCAUUAAAGCGGUACGCGAGCUGGGUUUAGAACGUCGUGAGACAGUUCGGUCCCUAUCCGCCGUGCGCGUAAGAGACUUGAGAAGAGCUGUCCCUAGUACGAGAGGACCGGGACGGACGAACCUCUGGUGUGCCAGUUGUUCCGCCAGGAGCACUGCUGGUUGGCUACGUUCGGCAGGGAUAACCGCUGAAAGCAUCUAAGCGGGAAGCUCGCUUCAAGAUGAGGUCUCUCACCCCUCGAGGGGUAAGGCCCCCGCCCAGACCAGCGGGUUGAUAGGCCGGAAGUGGAAGCACAGCAAUGUGUGGAGCUGACCGGUACUAAUAGGCCGAGGACUUGACC
rnacentral:rRNA from 1 species